GCUCUCUGACCUGACCCUCGAGCUGGUCGCUCUCCUGCGCUGCUGAUACGGCCCGUCCUGUCUCCAGUUUUUACGUCAGUAAAACACUUAGCUAUGAGACACUUUAACGUCUCCCUCCCAGCUUUUGCUGAGCCUUAACUUUCUCACCUGUAGCAGAGGCCUUUGGCCCUGUGUGUCAAUGGCUGUCACGAGGGGGCGGGUGUCACCACUGAGGCCGCCGGCAGAGGAGGAGCCCCUCCAGCUCGGCCCGGGUGGGCGAGGGGUCUCCACAUCCUGAGCCGCCGGGACCGCCGGAGGAGUUUGCUCUGUCCCGAGGAUAAAAAAGAAAAGUUCACCAAUGUAAAACGUUGAACCACGGGAACACGAACAAAAGAGACGUAAUUUAUCAAAUGUCCGAUGGCGGAGGACUCCCUAACCUUGAAAAGUGAUGGAUGAAUUCUCUCACACACUAAAGCACAAACAUUUAAAACUUCAACCCAAAAAAGGAAACCAAAAUUUACCAAACAGUAAUCUGGGGAAAAUAAAUUCAACAAACACCACAAAAGAUUAAGAUCCUUAAUUGAGGAAGACCUUAUCGAAUGAGUAAGAAAGACGCUGAGACUCCAGUAGCUAAACGGGUGGAGAACACGAGCAGACAAUUCACCACAGAAGACAAAUGGUUGACAGGGAAGAAAAAUUUCUCGCUAGCAAUCAUAUCAAACAACAAAGCAAAGGAUUAAAACAAUAAGAUCUCUGAAACACCUUUUAUGGUUUUCCAUGCCACUUAGAAGAGAAGUCAAAAAUUUUUUUUAUGAGGAAGAUUGUCGCUGAGCUAACAUCUGUGCCCAUCUUCCUCUGUUUUAUGUGGGAUGCGGGCUCAGCACAGCUUGACAAGUGGUGCUGGGUCCCCGCCCAGGAUCCAGGCCUACAAAUCUGGCCGGAGCAGAGCACGAACUUAACCACUACACCACGGGGCCAGCCCCUCAAAUUUUUUAUCUUGGCAAAGUCCAGGAUGGUGUGAGGGCUCCAACGCAUUGUCUACCAUUCUACCCAUUUCUUUCAGCCACGAUCUGCUUUUUCCUGACCUUUAAACACCUGGAUCUCCCACCUCUGGCCCUUCAUGGGAAUGUCCUUCUCUCAGCUGCUGGCAUGAUUGAACCUUCUGAUCCUCAGGCCUCAGAUGAGUCACCUUCUCAGUGGGGUCCUCCCUGUCCACCCUGUGUACAUAGGUGCUCCCUCUGUGCUCUGUCCGAUCAGGCUGUGUCUUCAUCAUACUUCCCAGUUAACUUACUUGUUUUGGUGCCAGAAUCCUCCUGCCCCUAAUGAUCAUCUCUAAGUCAGCUUUACCCACCACUCCCAGUGCCCAACUCAGCGUGACACUUAGUAGGCGCACUUUAGAUAGUGGUUCAAUAGAAGAGACACGAAGUGACCUGACCCAGUGUACAUGGGAGGGAAGUGGCAGCACCAAAACCCAAAUCCUCCUGUGUCUGACUCCAAAGGCUCAGCUGUCAGCCACGGCUGUGCUUCUGGCCCAAAGUCCUGGCCAGGGCCUGGCGGAUCUGGCAAGUCUGGCAGUCAGAAUUUAAAAGUGUAAUUGAUGGGGAGAGGAAUCAGAACAGAAUCUACAAAGCUGAAUUAAUAUAGAGGUUCUCUGAUCAGUUAUAGUUAUUUCUUUCAUUCAGCAUGUUCAACAAAAAACAAACCCAGACUUAGGAGAGACUUUGCUCAAAAGGACUUUAUUCAAGGGGAGAAAGGGGCUGUUGCAACAGGGAGAAGGCUCUGAGUAUAAGGCCUGCAAGUGUGUCAGGAGUUAGGCAGGAGGAGUUUUUCUUUUAUGGAGAGGAGUAAACAAGGCUAGAAAGAACCAGGUGUGGGGAAGUGGGGUGAAAGGUGGCAGGAUUGGAUCAUAAAUCCAAAAUGGUUCCACCUCUUCUCAAGAGGGACUGGAUGCUGGCUCGGGCCACGGGGCGCCAAAGUUCAUUCAGGGGCCUGGAGGAGGGAGAGAGGCUUCUUGGAAGUUUGGUUAACAAGCAUUCUGUUCCAAUUGAUCAGUGGGGACCAGAGGCUCUGCUAAUCAUUUAUGAGGCAAAGAAAGGGAAUUUAGAGGGUCUGCAUCUGGCCUUGUUAUAAGUAAACAAGGCGGGCGUCCAUGAGUCUUGUCUAAGUCAUUUGGGGAAGGAAAGGUGGUUCUUUGUAAUGUCAUUUUCUAGAACCCAAAAAGAGUGGGGGCUGGAGGGUAGUCCUUAACCUUCACUGUUUUCCAGGAGCACAGGGCUUGGGUAAAGUUCAACACUGUCAAGCUUACAUCUAUGGAUCUCCUUCCGUGUGUCCAGCCCUGGCGAGUGAAGUGAUGUGAUGGCUACAGCACAUGCAGUCAUCUUGGACCAUGAGGCAACAUUGACCAUAGAAUCCAUGUGCUAAGGAUGGCAAAGCAGAAAAAUGGAAAGUAUGUGAGAAAGAGAUAAAUGUCUCUGUUGCUCAGGAGCUUGUGAAGAUCUCUGUUAGUAACAGCUGAAGCAAUUCCUCACUUACAUACUUAGGCACAGAGGUUAAGUUACUCAUGUAAGAUGUCAUAGCUGGUAAGUACAAGAGGCAGGAUAUAACCCCGGACAGUGGCUACAAAGCCCGUGGUUUGUAAGCUUCUGUGCAGGGCUCAGUUUUGCUUUCCCUGCUGCCCCAGCCCAGCCCAGGAGGUCUGCCAACCUGGUCAAUAGCUCCCUCAGAAACAUACCCAAGUUUGUUUUCUCCCCAGGCCCGUGGCUAGGCUGGCAGAGACGCAGUUCCUCAGGUUCAGGAAAGGCCACGUGAGGACGCAGUGCGAAGGUGGCCAUCUGCAAGCCAGGAAGAGAGCCCUUACCAGAAUCUGAACCCUGACCUGGCACUUUCAGGCUCCAGAACUGUGAGAAGUAGCUGGAGGUGGUUUGUGAGCCCCAGAUCUGCGCUGAGAUGGAUGGAGAUAAGUUUCGCAGCGUUAUUUCCAGCCUCAAAUCCUUUCGGGAACAGUGGAUCUCUGUAGCAGUCAAGGUUAAACCAGAAAACCGCUCACAUCUGCAGGACCUGCAUGCAGGCAUUGGGGUCACAGGUGAUGGAUAAACAAAUGGGGACACUGCAACAACCCAGAGAUUUGUCACCAUGGUGGAGUCACCAUCCCCCUAGGCUGGGGGCAGAGGGAUCCCAGGCACCACAAGGAGACUGUUCAGUGAGAGUUGGAACCUGGGAAGAGACGAAAAUGCCACAGCACUACCUUGUGGGGCAGGCAGGGAAGGGACACACUCAGCACUCUUCCCCACUCACGCUCUCCAAACUCUGUGCCAGCACCUCCCAUUCGCGAUACCAGCAGGAAGCCAGCUGGCCUGGCAGCUUGGAAACACAGCCCAGGGUCCGCACUGCUGCCAUACAAAGCAAAGUGAGGGGGAUGAGAAAUGACUCGGGCAUGCUGGCCCAGGACCAGUACCACCCUCCAUUGUCCUGAUACCUUUGAAAGGCUGUCAUUAUUGAGGAAUUGAACAGCCUAACUGUUACGAGCUGAAUUGUGUCCCGGACCAAAUUCAUAUGUUGAAGUCCCAGUACCUCAGAAUGUGAUCAUAUGCGGAGAUAAGGUCUGUAAAGAGACGAUUAAAUUAAAAAGAGGCCAUUAGGGUGACCCUAAUCCAAUCUGACUGGUGUCCUUAUAACCAGAGGAGAUUAAGACACACAGAGACAUCAGAGGUAUGCACACAGAAGGAAGACCACGUGAGG
ensembl:lncRNA